rnacentral:ncRNA from 1 species
GCUUUUGGCAGAAAGGUGCUCGCUGCAAGAAUCGCCUUUUGUUCCUUCGAUGUUGGCUCUUCCCAUCAUUGCGAAGCAGAAUUCAAGAAGAGUUGGACUAUUCAUCCACUAAUAGGGAGCAUGAGUUGGGUUUAGACUAGCCUGACACAGUU